rnacentral:lncRNA from 1 species
UUGGGACAAAAAAGUAGGAGGAUAUACCAUUUUCCAUUUUUAAACACUUUAAUUACUGCUAAAACAUAUUAUGAAACACAAAUAGCACCCCUUACAUUCAUAUAAUCACUUUAAUGUGAUUUUACAAGAUGAAAACCAAGCAUAUACACAAUCCAGUCCAACAUUUUAAAGGAAAAUUUAGUAGCACGGCCAUCAUUAAUCCAAAUGAUAUCAGUGCUGCUAAACAUAUAUUGAAUGAUCAUGCAUGCUUUUAUUUUAUAUAUACUACAUUCUAUGAAGAAGUAGUAUAUAUAUAUAUAUACUUUCCAUACUAUAUAUCAUAGACUAGAGUACAUGCAUGCAUCGUCAGAUCAAAACACUCCUCUAGUUUUGAGGCUUGACUCCGGUAGUCUCUGCGUCCACCACCUCACCUGCAUAGUUGCAGCACCUAUAACGGCAGUAUCCGUGAC